AGAGUUUGAUCCUGGCUCAGGACGAACGCUGGCGGCGUGCCUAAUACAUGCAAGUCGAGCGGAGUUAUUCCUUCGGGGAUAGCUUAGCGGCGGACGGGUGAGUAACACGUAGGCAACCUGCCUGUAAGAUCGGGAUAACCCACGGAAACGUGAGCUAAUACCGGAUAAGUAAUCUGCUCGCAUGAGGAGGUUAAGAAAGA
rnacentral:rRNA from 1 species